rnacentral:rRNA from 1 species
ACGGAAGGCAGCAGUGGGGAAUAUUGCACAAUGGGCGCAAGCCUGAUGCAGCGAUGCCGCGUGAGGGAAGAAGGUUUUCGGAUUGUAAACCUCUGUCAUCGGGGACGAUAAUGACUGUACCCGAGAAGGAAGCUCCGGCUAACUACGUGCCAGCAGCCGCGGUAAUACGUAGGGAGCGAGCGUUAUCCGGAUUUACUGGGUGUAAAGGGCGCGUAGGCGGGAAGGCAAGUCAGAUGUGAAAUCCAUGGGCUCAACCCAUGAACUGCAUUUGAAACUGUUUUUCUUGAGUGCUGGAGAGGUAGACGGAAUUCCUUGUGUAGCGGUGAAAUGCGUAGAUAUAAGGAAGAACACCAGUGGCGAAGGCGGUCUACUGGACAGUAACUGACGCUGAGGCGCGAAAGCGUGGGGAGCAAACAGGAUUAGAUACCCUGGUA